UUACGGCCACAUCACGUUGCAACACCGGUUCUCGUACGAUCACGGAAGUUAAGCCACGUUGCGCCUGGUCGGUAGUUAAAUGGGUGACCGCGAGGGAAUACCAG